UUAACUCCUCUAAUUAUGUGUGAUUAUUACUAUCAGUCUAUAUAAACAAGCAUAUGUUGUGUUCUCCGACUCACAGUUUACACACAAAUAUCCCUAAGUUUAUCCUAUUUUACAUAAACAAAUUAAUUUCCUAUCCUAAACUAGAAUAUGACUACAUGAGAUAAAAAAUUUCUUCAUAAACCAAUGUCUAUAGCUGAAAUCACGGGCAAUGGCAGCAAAAGUCUAUAGGUCUAGCUGUGUAGGGGACAAGGAAAGAACAUGAGUACUGCCUCAAGGGAAGAACAACAAACAGAACUGAACGCAGUCUCAACAAGGACAUUGUAUUUUAGCAGAUACUAGGUUUCUGCAACAUGUCAGCUUCUCCUCUGGAUUCAACUGCACAGACCGGACAGUCAAGUGGGGGUGAUUGGCAAGAACAAGUGUAUCAACAUAUUAAAUCUAUGAAAGAAAGUUACUUGCUAGAGUUGAAUGAAAUGUACCAAAAGAUUGCUACCCAACUUUAACAGGUAUGAUUUGUCAGACAAUUUUUAAUAACUGCUAUUGAUAAAUAAUCUUUUUCCAUUAUUGUUAUUCUUGCAAACUCUAGAGAUUGUAGCAUGUUCUAAGCCCUAUAUCAGGUCAUCACCUUUCCUCAAAGGGAGUCCUUUAUUGUUGUUUUUUCCUCGUAAAUUAUUUUUACUAUGUUUAACCCUGUAUCUUUCCUUUAUCAGCACAAUUCCCUUCCAACACAACCAAAGUUAGAUCAACUUGAAAAGAUGAAUGUAUUUAAAAUGCUGGAACGUAUUAUAGCAUUCCUUCAGGUUUCUAAGAGCAACAUCUCACCCAAUUUCAUGGAGAAACUAGGUUCAUAUGAGAACCAUAUUAUAAACUUCAUAAAUAGAGAAACUAGGUUCAUAUGAGAACCAUAUUAUAAACUUCAUAAAUAGAAAAAGACAUAAGAAAGCUAUGCCUCCAAUGCAGUCAAGGCAACUUCCCCUACCUCAUAUUGAUUGGCAAUAAGAAGUGUAUCAAAAGGUAAGGUAAUGUAGUUUUUUGUUAUCAUUUUAUUUCUAAGUGAAUUGGAUUGAACAGCAGAUAUUUGUCAAAUGAACAAAACCCAAAAUGAUGAAGAAUGAUGGCUUUUAUUGUGAGAAAUUAUCAAGAAGAAAAUGAAACUCUUCAGUAGUCUUGUAGGAAAAAUAAUGAGAACUCUUCUUAAAUCCAUACUACUCAAUGUUUAUAUAUAUUGAUGAACCUUCACAUAAUAUUUGAAAAAAUGUGUAAUGUAGCAGUAGAAAUUACUUGUGCUUUACCCAAUAAGGAUUUUUUUUGUUUUUUUUUCUAGAGUUAAUUUCUUUUAGUGCUGUCGUUUUAUUCUCUAUUGGUUAUUUGUAUUGAGAAUAUCUGGUAAUUGUUAACAUGUCUUUGUGUUGAUAUGAAUGGUAUUUCUUUAGUGAGAUUUUUGAAGUUUUCAAUUUAAUAUUCAAAGUCAUGGUUGGUGUGCUUAAGUUCCACAUCUAGUAGUAUGGUACGCUUGAUGGAGUAUUAAGUGACAUGGUUCUCCAAGUGUUUAGGUGCUUAUCUUACAUGCAUGAUGUGUGCACAAUUAAGCAUGAAAUUUAUAAUGCAUUACAAAAUGAGAAAUUUUUUAUCAUCCUUCCUUAGUGGAACAAUGGUACAAAUUUUCUUGCACAAGAGACGACAAGGUUUCUAAUUAACCGAUCCCUAUUUGAUUUGGUUGAUUUUAUUUUGCAGAUUAAGUCCAUGAAACAAAAUUACUUGCCAGAGUUGAAUGAAAUGUACCAAAAAUCUGCUAGUAAACUUCAGCGGGAUACUCCCUUCCACAACAACCGAAGUCAUAUAAACUCGAAAAGUUGAAGAAAUUUAUGAAGAUGUUGGAAUGUGCUAUAGCAUUCCUUCAGGUUUCAAAGAGCAAUAUCUCACUUAAUUACAGGUUGAAACUGGAUUCAUGUGAGAAGCAGAUUAUAAAGAUCAUAAAUAUAAAUAGACCUAACAAAAUCGUGCCUCCACUGCAAUAUGGACAAUUUCCCCCACCUCAUAUGCAGUCUCAUUAAAAUCAAGUGAACUCUCAAUUGCAAACAACAAAUAUGCAAGGAGGCUUUGUAGCAGCAACCCAGUAGAAUAAUAUCACAAGCUUAAGAAUAUGGAAUUGAACAAAGUUAACAAAAAUGGUAGCAUGCAGCAAGCUUCAUGUGCUUAGGAUACAGUAGAACAUGAAAGUUUGUAUUAGAGUCAAGUUGCGAACUCAACUCAUUUCUAGACCUUUUUUUUUUUUCUGAAUUCUCAUUUAGUGUCAACUA